rnacentral:rRNA from 1 species
UACGAAGGGGGCUAGCGUUGCUCGGAAUUACUGGGCGUAAAGGGCGCGUAGGCGGAUAGUUUAGUCAGAGGUGAAAGCCCAGGGCUCAACCUUGGAAUUGCCUUUGAUACUGGCUAUCUUGAGUUCGGGAGAGGUGAGUGGAAUGCCGAGUGUAGAGGUGAAAUUCGUAGAUAUUCGGCGGAACACCAGUGGUGAAGGCGACUCACUGGCCCGAUACUGACGCUGAGGCGCGAAAGCGUGGGGAGCAAACAGG